GCGAGCCUGGGCGGUGCUGUCAGCCUGGCAGCCCGCGGAAUGCAACGACCAGAGGCCUGGCCACGUCCGCAUCCCGGGGAGGGGGCCGCAGGGACCCACAUCGGGGUCCCAGCGCCGCCCUCCCGAGUUGAGGAGCUCUCGGGGCUGCGGUUGCAGGAACCCUCCCUUUACACCAUCAAGGCUGUGUUCAUCUUAGAUAAUGACGGACGCCGGCUGCUGGCCAAGUAUUAUGAUGACACCUUCUCCUCCCCCAAGGAGCAGAUGAUCUUUGAGAAAAAUGUCUUCAACAAAACCAGCCAGACCGAGAGUGAGAUCGCAUUUUUGGGGGGCAUGACCAUCGUCUACAAGAGCAGCGUGGACCUUUUCCUCUACGUGGUGGGCUCCUCUCAGGAGAACGAGCUGAUGCUUGCGUCUGUCCUCUCCUGCCUCUUUGAGUCCCUGAGUCACAUCCUAAGAAGGAACGUGGAGAAGCGCUGGCUGCUGGAGAACCUGGACGGGGCCUUCCUGGUGCUGGACGAGAUCGUGGACGGCGGUGUGAUCCUGGAGAGUGACCCCCAGCAAGUUGUCCAGAAAGUGAAUUUUAGGACAGAGGACAGCGGCCUGGCGGAGCAGAGUGUGGCCCAGCCUGCAAGAGUCUCUGCUCAGACUAACCCUGCUUCUCUGGAGCUCCAUGCCAGGCACUGACUCCUCCUCCUCCUGUGGUGGCUCUGCCAAGAUCCCCAGCCAGCUGGUGGGCACCCACUUUCCACACUAACCUCGGCUUCCGCGUGUAUCCUUGUGCCCUGCAAGAGGCAAAACCGCUGCAUGGUCAUUUUCAAGGUUCUGCAGUCCGCCAAGGAACAAAUUAAAUGGUCGUUACUGAAGUGAAGGCAAUGCUGGCCCAAGUCCAAAGGCCCCAAGCGCUCCGUGCGCUGUCCCCCUUCCCAGAGCUCUGGCCCACCCCGGGGGACCUGAGGGACCACUGAGCUGCCUUUCCUGGCCCCCAAUAAACCUGCUUUGUCUCCCGCCAA